rnacentral:lncRNA from 1 species
UGUCUGAGAACCUCGGCUGGCCUUGGAGAAAAAAAUGGGCAGAAGCCCCUCCUUCCCUUGGGAGCUGCUUUUGAGGUGAGGCUCUCCUGCUUGGUGUCCGCCUGAGCUGUACUGCAGCUGCGCCGCAGCCAUGCCCAUGCCUGGCCAUGUACGCCCUCGAUCCAGACCCCAGCCUUGACCCCCAGACUUCCUUCCCGGUGCGACCUCGGCUUGUCCGGUGAGCUGAACUGAAUGCUGUCAUGGAUGGUGUCAAAGUUGUGUUGAAGAAUGAACAGCACAGCCUUCUCCCCCUCUCUUCCCCCAGAAUAAAGGAAGAAAACAAACUCUGAUUUUAAAAACAAACCCAAAUGUUUUGUGCAGCCCAGUUGGCAAAACUGCUGAAAGCUGACAGGUAAGAUUUAAUAUAGUAACCAUCCUACCUAAUGUGUUAUUUGUUCUGGAACUGGUUUUGAUUCUGA